CCUACGGGUGGCAGCAGUGAGGAAUAUUGGUCAAUGGGCGAGAUCCUGAACCAGCCAAGCAGCGUGAAGGAAGACGGCCCUAUGGGUUGUAAACUUCUUUUAUCGGGGAAUAAAAUCCGGGACGUGUCCCGCACUGCGUGUAUCUGAUGAAAAAGCAUCGGCUAACUCCGUGCCAGCAGCCGCGGUAAUACGGAGGAUCCGAGCGUUAUCCGGAUUUAUUGGGUUUAAAGGGUGCGUAGGCGGUUUGUUAAGUCAGCCGUUAAAAUUCGGGGCUCAACCCUCACCGAGCGGUUGAUACUGGCAUACUGGAGUUGACUAGAGGUAGGCGGAAUGCGCGGUGUAGCGGUGAAAUGCAUAGAUAUCGCGCAGAACUCCGAUUGCGAAGGCAGCGUACCGGCGCCAGACUGACGCUGAGGCACGAAAGCGUGGGUAUCGAACAGGAUUAGAUACCCCAGUAGUC
rnacentral:rRNA from 1 species